GAUGAACGCUGGCGGCGUGCUUAACACAUGCAAGUCGAACGGAAAGGCCCAAGCUUGCUUGGGUACUCGAGUGGCGAACGGGUGAGUAACACGUGGGUGAUCUGCCCUGCACUUCGGGAUAAGCCUGGGAAACUGGGUCUAAUACCGGAUAGGACCACUUCUUGGAUGUUGUGGUGGAAAGUUUUUUCGGUGUGGGAUGAGCUCGCGGCCUAUCAGCUUGUUGGUGGGGUAAUGGCCUACCAAGGCGUCGACGGGUAGCCGGCCUGAGAGGGUGUACGGCCACAUUGGGACUGAGAUACGGCCCAGACUCCUACGGGAGGCAGCAGUGGGGAAUAUUGCACGAUGGGCGCAAGCCUGAUGCAGCGACGCCGCGUGGGGGAUGACGGCCUUCGGGUUGUAAACUCCUUUCGCUAGGGACGAAGCGUUUUGUGACGGUACCUGGAGAAGAAGCACCGGCUAACUACGUG
rnacentral:rRNA from 1 species